rnacentral:RNase_P_RNA from 1 species
GGAACGCGGUAAACCCCUCAAGCUAGCAACCCAAAUUUUGGUCGGGGCAUGGAGUGCACGGAAACGAACGUAGUACUCUGACUGCUAGCAGCUUUAUGCUGUUAGCGGUAGACAGAUGAUUAUCGAAGGAAGUGGUCCUAGUCACUUCUGGAACAAAACAUGGCUUAUAGAA